rnacentral:rRNA from 1 species
AUUGAACGCUGGCGGCAGGCCUAACACAUGCAAGUCGAGCGGAGCGGCGGAAGGGUGAGUAAUGCCUAGGAAUCUGCAUGGUAGUGGGGGAUAACGUCCGGAAACGGGCGCUAAUACCGCAUACUAUCAGACGAGCCUAGGUCGGAAUAGCGAGUUGGUGGGGGAAAGGCCUACCAAGGCGACGAUCAGUAACUGGUCGGAGAGGAUGAUCAGUCACACUGGACCGGAGACACGGUCCAGACUCCUACGGGAGGCAGCAGUGGGGAAGAUUGGACAAUGGGCGAAAGCCUGAUCCAGCCAUGCCGCGUGUGUGAAGAAGGUCUUCGGAUUGUAAAGCCCUUUAAGUUGGGAGGCGUUACCAACAGAAUAAGCACCGGCUAACUACGUGCCAGCAGCCGCGGUAAUAC